AUCUGCUGUUCAGGCUGACUCAUCUAGUCUGGAGGAGGGGCUAUCUUCAUUUCUAAUUGAGGCUGUGGAGUCCAGGGACGAGACCUGACUGACUUGUCUCAGAGGUACUUCCUGAACAGUCUUUCUCUCACCGUGGACCAAAGGUUUGGCCAGAGCUAUGUAGCUGUCAAGCUCUAGAGAAAAUGAGGGGCGUAUUUCUAAAAGGGCAGAGGGAAACAUAGCCAGAAGAGGCAGACAGGCGGAUGAAAAUAUCAAACGGUUCCAGCGUGCACUGAAGGAUCAGAUGUGUGGAGAGUAGAGGCCAGGGAGGGACUGACUGCAGGGGGAUUGCCAGCUCCUCUGAGAAGCCUUUCCCAGAGGCCUGCUUUGGCUCCUGACGUCCUUGUUCGUGUUCUCUGUAGCCGAUGGCAUGUAUAUUACCUAAUCACAGCAGCUUUGAAGGUGAAAGUUCCUCUGGUUCAUCCUGUUUCCUUCCUUCCGGUUGUGAACAUGGACUUACUGUUUGGAUGAAGAAAUGAAGAAACGGGAGAAAUACAGACAUAGAGAAGGAAGGUCAGAGGUUCCCAAAUCCACAGGACAGAUCUGAGAAUGAGCAGCACAGUGGGAAGGCAUUUGCUCCUACCAGGGGAUAAUUCAGAACUAUGUGAACCAUCUCCCAUGAGGCUCUCUGAAGAUGGAGCCCACCGGAUCACAGAAUCUACAGGCUGAGCAUACACUCUACUCCAGCUUCUCAGCUCUCGUCAUCUGCACAGAAAUACAUCACUAAGUCAUUUAUGCUCAUCUUCCUUCUGAAAACGAAACACUAAGCUGUGGAUCAUGGCUGCUUCUCUAGCCUGGACCCUCCAUUGGAUUUCAAGCUGAUGGGGAACCAAGAGGAGAGUAAUUGAGACUGGGCAAGUCUGGAUGAAUCCUGAAGAGCUCAAUCAAACCUAGUAGGCAAUGUCAUAAGUGAGACAUAGAUGUGUGUUGCUAUAAGCCAUUAGACAUUUUGUUAUGCAACACAGUCUGGUGAUGACUGACUGUAACAAGAAGCUGAGUUAUACCUAUCAGCUCAAGGGGACUCAUUGUAUUUCCUGAGACUCAAGUAAACUAGUCAUCAUUUAAAUGCGGUGAGGCAGGCUUUUCUGUUACUUUCAGACAAAGCCAUCUGCACAGCACAUGACUACCAUUUUCUAGUUAUUCCCACCCCCAUAAGCAUCUUGUACUUUUUUAGCAUAAUUUUUUCUCUAUGGAGUCCUGCACCACCUACUAGGCUUUACUCAUCCCUAAUGACCCAGAUCAAUGCUGUUUUCCUGUGAGAUUUCCUGUGAAGAGUUAUUCUUAUAAAACUUGUCUUUUUCAAGCACAU
rnacentral:lncRNA from 1 species